rnacentral:lncRNA from 1 species
AUUAUACUUGGAGAAUAACUGAAUAUAUACUUUUUACUGUAAAUUCUAUCAUUUACCAUAUAUAUAAUAUAUGUGUGGGAAUACAGUUCCUGAAUCUACUGAAAUGCUUGUGGGACACAUUCCAUGUUCAUGUUCUCCACAGUGCAGAAGCAGGAGAUGAAAUUCCCAUGUGAAAGAUGUCCUCGUGUACCAUAAGCAAAGUUAUCAUUCUCAUCAUCCAGGAUGCGAAGCUGGGGGCAAGGGAAAACU